GGAUCUCCCAGGGCUGAACCCAGGAGGAAGACUAUGGCCAAGAGAGCUCAGAGGAUGCCGCUCCUGAAGGCCAGCCCUGGGAAGGGUGGAGAGUGGGUCUGGAGGAACAAAGGCAGAGAUAUCGAGCAGGUAUGUGAUCUUGCAACAAGGUGGAACCUGGCCAGGCACGUGACCAAGGACCUUCAGGCAACCUGGAAAACCAGGGUUUUCAGAGAUGCAAAGCGGAGAUAGCCAGAGAGCAGGCCGGGCAGGUAAAAGGUCAGGACAGAUCGGUAACUCGGGCUGAGAUAAGGAGGAGGCCUGGGGAGGGAACCUGUUGCUUUGAUAAAAUGCUAAGCUAGAGUCUGACCUCUGGAAGAGAUUAGAGGAGACUGAAUGAGCUAAAUUAUGAGGCCAGCCCAGGAGAAAUCCUUCCCCCUAUUUCAAUAUCACCCUGUGUUUCUCCUUCCCAGCUAAACGUCUGACCUCAAACAAAUAAUUGUUUAGUACCUGCCGGGAGCCCUGAGGAUGGAGGGAACAGCAUGAACAUCCCUUUUCUCCUGGAGUUUACAUGCUGGAGAGGAUGUCAAGUCUCGCUUGAUCCCUUAUGAUUUGGUUUGAUUCUGAAAACCGAACAUGAUGGACGUUCUGUGUGAUAAAGGACUUAUAAAAUCCAUGUAAACUACAGAAGUGGACCUGGGGAAGGGACAGGAACUCUUCCCAUGGGAGACCUGCGUGGGCUUUGCACAGAAGAUGACACGGGAGCAGGUGGAAGUGCUAGUGGCGAUGUAGGCUCUCAGCUCCUGACGUCUUGUGGGAAAGCGUUCAUCACACAACCUCAGGAGAUUUUGAGAGCAUGUUGGUUAAAGCUAGGGACAGUGGACCAAAAAAAGGGCUUAAGAUAGAAGAGGCAAGAUCAUCACAACAGGACUGAGCCCAGGUAUGGCUGCCUCGGCCCUUUCGAAAGAAAGCCACGCAGGCGGAAGAAGGGCCUU